UGGGGAAUAUUGGACAAUGGGCGCAAGCCUGAUCCAGCCAUGCCGCGUGAGUGAUGAAGGCCUUAGGGUUGUAAAGCUCUUUCGCCGACGAAGAUAAUGACGGUAGUCGGAGAAGAAGCCCCGGCUAACUUCGUGCCAGCAGCCGCGGUAAUACGAAGGGGGCUAGCGUUGUUCGGAAUCACUGGGCGUAAAGCGCACGUAGGCGGAUUGUUAAGUCAGGGGUGAAAGCCUGGAGCUCAACUCCAGAACUGCCCUUGAUACUGGCAAUCUCGAGUCCGGAAGAGGUAAGUGGAACUGCGAGUGUAGAGGUGAAAUUCGUAGAUAUUCGCAAGAACACCAGUGGCGAAGGCGGCUUACUGGUCCGGUACUGACGCUGAGGUGCGAAAGCGUGGGGAGCAAAACAGGAUUAGUAUACCCUGGUAGUCCACGCCGUAAACGAUGGAGGCUAGCCGUUGGCGAGCAUGCUCGUCAGUGGCGCAGCUAACGCAUUAAGCCUCCCGCCUGGGGAGUACGGUCGCAAGAUUAAAACUCAAAGGAAUUGACGGGGUCAUAGCUG
rnacentral:rRNA from 1 species